rnacentral:rRNA from 1 species
GACGAACGCUGGCGGCGUGCCUAAUACAUGCAAGUCGAGCGGACUAAUGGGAGCUUGCUCCCGUUAGUUAGCGGCGGACGGGUGAGUAACACGUGGGCAACCUACCUGUAAGACUGGGAUAACUUCGGGAAACCGGAGCUAAUACCGGAUGACAUAAAGGAACUCCUGUUCCUUUAUUGAAAGGUGGCUUCGGCUAUCACUUACAGAUGGGCCCGGGGCGCAUUAGCUAGUUGGUGAGGUAACGGCUCACCAAGGCGACGAUGCGUAGCCGACCUGAGAGGGUGAUCGGCCACACUGGGACUGAGACACGGCCCAGACUCCUACGGGAGGCAGCAGUAGGGAAUCUUCCGCAAUGGACGAAAGUCUGACGGAGCAACGCCGCGUGAGCGAUGAAGGCCUUCGGGUCGUAAAGCUCUGUUGUUAGGGAAGAAUAAGUGCUAGUUGAAUAAGCUGGCACCUUGACGGUACCUAACCAGAAAGCCACGGCUAACUACGUGCCAGCCGCCGCCGUAACAC